ACGGCCAUACCACUCUGAAUACGCCCGAUCUCGUCCGAUCUCGGAAGCUAAGCAGGGUCGGGCCUGGUUAGUACUUGGAUGGGAGACCUCCUGGGAAUACCAGGUGCUGUAAACU
rnacentral:rRNA from 1 species